rnacentral:tRNA from 1 species
AAUAAGGUGGCUGAGAGCUUAGGCGUUAGAUUGUAAAUUUAUUGACGGAUUAGAUCCUCUUAUUA